AACAUCAGUGUCACCAUUGAGUGCUAAUUGGACUACUUGUAUGUUGUAUGUACGGUGAUUGACGUGUUUUAAUCUCAAGAUAUAGUAGGAAGGUGUAUAAUUUGUGCGAUGACAACUGUGAAAAUGCACGGUGAUAUCGAUAUUUUAAGGUUACCUGUUAAUGAGGAGGAACAUGUAUGUUCUCCAUGGCGUAUAAAGUACACCCAGUCUCAUAUACUUCAUUCUAAGUGCACCAAAAAUGAAGAUGGUUGUGGUUCUAAUGUCGAAAGCGCAUGUCAAUUUUGUGUAUAUAGCAACACAUUAGAAUUGCCGCAUAUGCCAGACAUGGUGUUUCCUAAUAAUGUAUUAAGUCUGAAACAUCAUGAUGGACUAUCGCUGGAAUUCAAUGCUUUGGAUGCUUUGAGAUAUGUUUCUAAUGGAAAAGUUAAUGUUCAGCUCGCUUGUGCAGAAGCUUGGAAAGAAUCUAGGUCAGAAAGCAGCGAAUACUUAGAAGAAAAGAUAAAGCCUUUUGAUUGGACCUUUACUACCACUUAUACUGGCACACUGUCUGGUUUUGAAAUAGAAGAGACUAAUGAAAGAAUUGAUAUAGAUAAAUUAAAACAAAAAGACAAAAUCUUGUUUUAUCAUGAUUUAACAUUGUUUGAAGACGAACUUCAUGACAAUGGUAUUGCAGUGUGUUCGGUGAAAAUUAGAGUCAUGCCUGCCAGUUUCUUUAUAUUACUGCGAUAUUUUUUGAGAAUUGACAAUGUAAUGCUAAGAAUAAAUGAUACUCGUAUUUACCAUGAAUUUGGUAAAAAUUAUUUACUACGUGAAUUUACAUCACGGGAAGCUAAAGUUCAAGAUAUUCGAGUUUCUCCAACGCUCUUCCUUGACCCGAGUGGGAUAGCACCCCAUUUGCCAUUAAGUAAAAGUCAAUAUCACAAACUUCUUAUAUCUAAAAAAGAAGAAGCAUCGAAAUCACACAAAAUUGCAAGCGAGCAAAACAAAACUACAACUGAAGAAAAAGUAACACAAUCCGAUGAAUCUGCAGACAGCUCAAUCACUUAGAGCUCAUAUUAAGAAAAAAGUUAUAAAUAUCAAAAGGAAACGGAAGGAAGAGGAAAUCAAGAGACAGACAAUUGAUCGACUUUCGGGCUAGGCCGCUUUCUUUCCAUCAUAUAGUGGUGUUUAUUCGUGGGCGCAAAAAACUUGGGUGAAUUCCAUCGGGUUGGACGGAGAGAGGAAGAGAGAGAAAUGAAGACGAAGAAGAGAGAGAAGACGAAGUGUGCGGUGGAGCGAGGAGGAAAAGGAGGAGAAAACGCAAUAAGAGCAAGAAGCAAGGAGGUCGUCGACGACAGCAAUCUCUCGUGUUUCCGGCCGGCUGAAGAAGCACGGCCGUCUGCGCCCAUCGAUCCAGAAGAAGACGGUCGAGCCGAGAGAAGAGAAAGAAGGAAGGAAGCGAAAGGGAAAAAGAGAGGGAGUGAUGAUAGCAAGUACAGCGUAGCAGGAAAGCGAAAAAGAGACAGAAGAGAGAGAGAGAGAGAGAGAAAGAGAGAGAAAAUGUAGAGGGGCUCGACUGAGAGACAGAGAACACUCGGCCGGAAGCAGUUACUCGCGCGAUGCAACGAAAAUAUCAGAGCGUCCGUUUCGCAAUAGGUCUGCCCGCGUCCGCCUGGAGUUUAAUAUAGAACACUCGCGGCCGGCCCCGUCGCGAAAACAUCAUGCUGACGUCGGCCGUGCGCCAGUUUCUUCUCUCUUUCUUUCUCUCUCUCUCAUUCUUAUUCGCUUCGCUCUUCUCGUUCUGUCUGCCUGAGAAAAACGUCUCCUUCUUUUCGUGCGG